GACGUAGGGCGCGAGCGUUGUCCGGAUUUAUUGGGCGUAAAGAGCUCGUAGGCGGCUUGUCGCGUCGGCUGUGAAAACCCGUGGCUCAACCAUGUGGUCUGCAGUCGAUACGGGCAGGCUAGAAUUCGGUAGGGGAGACUGGAAUUUCUGGUGUAGCGGUGAAAUGCGCAGAUAUCAGGAGGAACACCGGUGGCGAAGGCGGGUCUCUGGGCCGAUAUUGACGCUGAGGAGCGAAAGCGUGGGGAGCGAACAGG
rnacentral:rRNA from 1 species